UACAGAGGGUGCGAGCGUUAAUCGGAAUUACUGGGCGUAAAGCGCACGUAGGCGGCUUGGUAUGUCGGGUGUGAAAUCCCCGGGCUCAACCUGGGAACUGCAUCCGAAACUGCCUUGCUCGAGUAUGGGAGAGGGAAGUGGAAUUUCCGGUGUAGCGGUGAAAUGCGUAGAGAUGUGGAGGAAUACCGAUGGCGAAGGCAGCCCCCUGGGAUGAUACUGACGCUCAUGCACGAAAGCGUGGGGAGCAAACAGG
rnacentral:rRNA from 1 species